ensembl:lncRNA
UCUUAACUGUGCAUCCCUUACAGAGAUGGAAUACUUCAAAUGUACACAAAGUUGAGAUAGCUGCUAUUAUAUAAACAUGGGGUUACGUGUGCAGCAGCAUGGUUGUGGAGUAGGUAUUACACGUAUUUACAACGGAUGGAGACAUUUACAGAGUUACUGUUAAAUUAAUUUUCAUUUUAACGUAAUCCCACAAAAAUGUAUCCUAGUCAUUCUGUGAAAUUCUGUGAAUGGACCAUAAUGUAAGGCCUACAUCAGAUUGGUGCUUCUGUUCUCCGUGACCCAGGGCCUACAUCAGACUGGUGCUUCUGUUCUCCGUGACCCAGGGCCUACAUCAGAUUGGUGCUUCUGUUCUCCGUGACCCAGGGCCUACAUCAGACUGGUGCUUCUGUUCUCCGUGACCCAGGGCCUACAUCAGACUGGUGCUUCUGUUCUCCGUGAUGCAAGGCCUACAUCAGAUUGGUGCUUCUGUUCUCCGUGACCCAGGGCCUACAUCAGACUGGUGCUUCUGUUCUCCGUGACGCAAGGCCUACAUCAGACUCUAGAUCUCCUGCAUGCAUACUGUCAGACAUUUGCCCUGAUAGAGAAUCUAAGCAAGAAGUGAUUCAGCAAAAAAGGUCACAAUGCCAUGCAUUCACACAAGCGUUUUCUUAACAUUGAACUAAGUAUUUACCCUUAGGUAUUUGAAAAACCCUAAGGGGGUUAAUAGACAAAUAUAAGCCCUGGGCUAAUAGACAAAUACAACACAAGACCAAAUUACAUUAUGAUUGGACAGAGGACAUUGUUUAUGCUUGGUUCUUUGUCAUGUUUCACACUGGGUUUCUGGGCUAGACCUGAAAGAUUGGCGCUAACUAGCUGCUUCAAGAGGUCACCAUAUAUAGACCUGGCUCUGGACAGAAGACUAUUAGAUAAACCCUAUACACAGUUAACAAAAUAAAAUCUUAAAUGCCUACAUCCUUUUGAAACUUAUGCAUAUGCAAAUACCUUAUUAAUCUUUGUUUUCCAUUUGCUUUGGAAAUGUAAGCAAUCGUUCCCCACGUCAAAAAAGCCUGUGUAAGACACCUCAUCGGCCUCACAUUUCACUAGAAAUCAGUUGGUGAGAGAGGAGGAAGUGGGAAAGCUCCUGCCAGUGUAGAUUACAGACGAGGCGUGUAACUGCACUGCAGUGGUUACUAAGGCGGUUUGUCUCUCACACACACGGAUAAAUAAAAUGUGCCUUUAACCAUAGGUUAGAAGGAACUAGACGCUGUGCAAGAUUUGGUUCCACAGAUCCAUUUUAUUUUUGUGUCCAGCGCUCAGGUGGAACCGAAGCUGGUCUGUGCUGUUGACCGCUACCGGUGUGGAUAAGAUAACAGUUGAACAUUACUGCGAAAACAGAAAUACUAAACAGAAAUGAGUCAUAUGUAAAAUGUCGGUCCCUUGUUUCAUUAGAUUAAAUUUAAG